AUCGAAAUCAAGGCUCUCCAUUGACUUUCGUCUUUCACUCGCGGCGAUUAAUCGCCGUGUGUAUCUAGGCCUUUACGAACUUCUCAGAAUUGCCUACUAGGGAAUGGAUUUCAGACUUUAUUGACGUACCUGAUCUGAUUUUUGAGCGAUAUUUUAUUGGGGAGGAUUUAUUUGGCCGUAUCUCUUGCGUGAACAGACCCAUCGAACAGAGUACUUAUUUUUUACGCUGUGCGACUCUGUGUGAAAAAAAAAAAAAUCUCAAUUUUCAACCUAUUAGCCGUCUCCAAUCUUUCCAUCGCAGUCAUGAUGUUGCACUCACACUGAAAAAAAGUAUCACAAUAUCUAUACUUCCAGCUGAUUUUGGCGCCAGCCAUAGCAGUAGUGCACUAGCUAGAAGUUUAAAGGCACCAGCGAGCGGUAUAGUUAAACCAACCACACUUACGCUGACUGUGAGAGCACCAUAGCUAGAGGUAUGGUUGAUCCAACCUAACUUUCAGCUGAAUUAACCAUACCUCUAGCAUGUGCAACUACUCUAAUAUCCGGCGCCAAACUGGCUGAUGCGAGUUAUGAUUCUGAUACUUUUUUUACGUGCAGGAACCACUUUUUUAUGUUUUUUCUAUUCUAUUAAGUAUGGUCAGAUGACUUGUUUUGAGGGAAAGGGGUAAAUCAACCGAAAUGCAUCAUGCCAUUCGUUGAAUAAAAUUGAUGCGUGUUUGUCCCAUAGAAUGUUAGGGUAGAUUGAUGAAAUAAGGGGCGUGACUGUGAACGGGUAUGGGUCAAAUGUUCUGAACGAGAGUUGAUGAUAGGAAACGGAGAUAAAGAAGAAGAGAGACACGUUUCUAACAUAAGUAAUCGGUCUGAUUCAGUAGAUGAGAACAAUAAUGUGAAGAUAAGAGACAUCUCGUUUUUAAUCUCGUGCCCAUUUCAAGAAUGGAUCCCGUUUAAUCAAACGAAAGGCACCCACAUUAUUUUCAGGUGUUCAAUUUUAUCAGGAGAUGCGUGGAGCAUGAAGUUCAUUCUCGCAGGGAUCUUUGUCUUGAGAUGUAAUUUUUAUUCAGAUUUUGCACAAGGUGCCACUACAACUAGACAAACAACUUUCAAAGAUCACUCAGCGCACGUAAGCACAUCAACACAUUCGAUACACGCAUCAACUAGCACACCGGGGCCGAUUGCUUAUGAGCUUCACAGGGAUAAGAUAAUUCCAGAUCUAUCAACCUUAGACGAUAAAUGUCCGCAGCGUGUUUUGAAGGUGAUUUAUGAAGAAGAUGGUUAUGGUCCCGUUUGUUAUGGUAAUACAUUGAAAGCGGCUACAGCUCAUGCCGCUCCAGAGACAGUCGCGUGGAAAUGUGAGAAUCCAGAUGAGGCCACAUUCUACACGAUAAUUUUUGUCGGUACUCAUAGAUUUGUAUUCCAACUGUUUCUGCAAGAAAAAGGAAGAUCCACUUUGAAGAGACCUAUCUGA
rnacentral:lncRNA from 1 species